ACCACAUAAAACACCAGAGCACGCAGAAGAGCAAGCGGAGAACAAGCAGGAGAGCAGAAGAGCAAUCGGAGAACGCAGGAUAACAAGCAGAGAAGCGGAGAAGCGCAAGCCCGAUUGAGAGGAGGCAGGAAGCCACAGAAUCCAGUACUGCGAUCUCCAGAAGGACGAGGCAGCGUGGCGGAGAUGUCAGAGGCGAGUGGCAUAGCACAGCAGAGGUGGAUCGUCGCCUGCGGCUCCAGGUAUCUUGGAUCGCGUCCUCGGGCAAGACAAGACCGAGACACCGGGACCUCCUGAGAGACUUGGGACUUCUUAUUCACCUUUUUAAUAAUAAACAGUUGUUAACAUUUA